rnacentral:rRNA from 1 species
GACGAACGCUGGCGGCGGGCUUAACACAUGCAAGUCGAACGGAAAGGCCCUGCUUUUGUGGGGUGCUCGAGUGGCGAACGGGUGAGUAACACGUGAGUAACCUGCCCUUGACUUUGGGAUAACUUCAGGAAACUGGGGCUAAUACCGGAUAGGAGCUCCUGCCGCAUGGUGGGGGUUGGAAAGUUUCGGCGGUUGGGGAUGGACUCGCGGCUUAUCAGCUUGUUGGUGGGGUAGUGGCUUACCAAGGCUUUGACGGGUAGCCGGCCUGAGAGGGUGACCGGCCACAUUGGGACUGAGAUACGGCCCAGACUCCUACGGGAGGCAGCAGUGGGGAAUAUUGCACAAUGGGCGGAAGCCUGAUGCAGCAACGCCGCGUGCGGGAUGACGGCCUUCGGGUUGUAAACCGCUUUCGCCUGUGACGAAGCGUGAGUGACGGUAAUGGGUAAAGAAGCACCGGCUAACUACGUG